AUUAAAUAUGGUGGUGCAUACCUAUAAUCCCAGCUAUAAGGGAGACCAAGUCUGGCAAAUUUAUUGAAUUCAGAAAUCCUGAGCUUCAGUGGGCUAUGCUUAUUAGAUUUCCUGCACUAAGUUCAUCAUUAAUAUAGUGAGCUUUUAGGAACUAGAACAACCAGGUUGCAUACAGAAGGGCAAAAUGGCCCAGGUCAGAAACAGAGUAGGUCAAAGCUCAAGUGCAGAUCAGUAAUAGGAGGGGACAUGGGAGUAGUUCCUGUACUUUGAGCCUGCUGAGACAGUGAGACCUAUUAUUU
rnacentral:SRP_RNA from 1 species